AUGAAGAACGCAGCGAAAUGCGAUAAGUAAUGUGAAUUGCAGAAUUCAGUGAAUCAUCGAAUCUUUGAACGCACAUUGCGCCCCUUGGUAUUCCGAGGGGCAUGCCUGUUCGAGCGUCAUUAUAACCCCUCAAGCUCAGCUUGGUGUUGGGGCCUGCUGCACUGGCAGCCCUUAAAAUCAGUGGCGGCGCCAUCUGGCUCUAAGCGUAGUAAUUCUUCUCGCUAUGGAGUCCUGGUGGAUGCUUGCCAUCAACCCCCAAUUUUUCUAUGGUUGACCUCGGAUCAGGUAGGGAUACCCGCUGAACUUAAGCAUAUCAAAAGCGGAGGA
rnacentral:misc_RNA from 1 species